rnacentral:rRNA from 1 species
UCAAGUUAAAAAGAGCACUAGGAGAAUGCCUAGGCACCAAGAGGCGAAGAAGGACGUGACAAGCUGCGAAAAGCUGAGGUUAGCUGCAAAUAAGCCAAGCCUCAGAUAUCCGAAUGGGGAAACCCACCUCAAAAGAGGAAUCCUAUAGCCAAUAAAUAACUAUAGGAAGCGAACCAGGUGAACUGAAACAUCUAAGUAACCUGAGGAAGAGAAAGAAAACUCGAUUCCCAAAGUAGCGGCGAGCGAACAGGGAAGAGCCCAAACGUGUAAAAAGAGAAAAUAGCCAGUCGAAUCAUCUGGGAAGACGAACCAAAGAAGGUAACAGUCCCGUAGACGAAGGCGAAGAUAUCCGACACAAAAGAGUACCACGGAACACGAGAAAUUCAGUGGGAAUACAGGGGGACCACCCCCUAAGGCUAAAUACUACUUGGUGACCGAUAGCGAACAAGUACCGUGAGGGAAAGGUGAAAAGAACCCCGGGAGGGGAGUGAAAUAGAAUCUGAAACCUAGUGUUUACAAGCAGCGAAAGUGGCAAAAGCCACGAUCGUGUACUUUUUGUAGAACGGGCCAGCGAGUUACGAUUACAAGCAAGGUUAAACAUUAAAGAUGUGGAGCCGAAGCGAAAGCGAGUCUAAAGAGGGCAAAAGUUAGUAGUCGUAGACCCGAAACCGUGUGAUCUAUCCAUGAGCAGAGUGAAGUUGAAGUAAAAUUCAAUGGAGGCUCGAACCGGGUAGCGUUUAAAAGCUAUCGGAUGACUUGUGGAUAGGGGUGAAAAGCCAAACGAACACGGAGAUAGCUGGUUCUCCUCGAAAUAGCUUUAGGGCUAGCCUCUAGCAAGAAUGAAAAGGGGGUAGAGCACUGACUGGUCAAGGGGCAUGCAUAUGUUACCGAGACCUAUCAAACUCCGAAUACCAAAUCAUACGCUAGGGAGUCAGACUAUGGGGGAUGAGCUUCAUAGUCGAAAGGGAAAGAGCCCAGACCAUCAGCUAAGGUCCCAAAAUUAUAGUUAAGUGGGAAAGGAUGUGGAGUUACUGAGACAACUAGGAUGUUGGCUUAGAAGCAGCCACUCAUUUAAAGAGUGCGUAAUAGCUCACUAGUCAAGUGACUCUGCGCCGAAGAUAACCGGGGCUAAACUAUAUACCGAAGCUAUGGAACGAAAAACGUUGGUAGAGGAGCAAUGUAUGAAGGAAGAAGCAGAAGUUGAAAAGCACUGUGGACAUCAUACAAGAGAGAAUGCUGGCAUGAGUAGCGAGAGGUGAGUGAGAAUCUCACCCGUCGAAAACCUAAGGAUUCCUGAGCAAGGCUCGUCCACUCAGGGUAAGUCGGGACCUAAGGCGAGGCUGAAAAGCGUAGUCGAUGGACAACAGGUUGAAAAUCCUGUACCGAUACAAUCAGUGAGGAAGUGGGGACGCAGAAGGAUAAUAAGAGCGCCCAGUUGGUGAGGCGUGCAAGCGCAAAGGAUGGGAAGUAGGCAAAUCCGCUUUCCGAGAAGUCUAAAGCGUGAUGCGGAUCGAAAACAAGUAGAGAAGCUUAUAACUCCACACUGCCAAGAAAAGCCACUACAAGAGAAGUAUCGCCCGUACCGCAAACCGACACAGGUAGGUGAGGAGAGAAUCCUAAGACGAGCGGAAAAACCUUUGUUAAGGAACUCGGCAAAAUGACCCCGUAACUUCGGGAGAAGGGGAGCCCCUGUAAAAGGGGGCCGCAGUGAAAAGGCCCAAGCGACUGUUUACCAAAAACACAAGUUUCUGCGAAGUCGAAAGACGAAGUAUAGGAGCUGACACCUGCCCGGUGCUGGAAGGUUAAGGGAAAAAGUUAGCAUAAGCGAAGCUUAGAACUGAAGCCCCAGUAAACGGCGGCCGUAACUAUAACGGUCCUAAGGUAGCGAAAUUCCUUGUCGGGUAAGUUCCGACCCGCACGAAAGG